AAGCUGCUACGUAACACGGGGAGCUCAGCUUGGUGCUCUGGGAUGACCCAGAGGGUGGGAUGGGGGGAAGGGAGGCUCAAGAAGAAGGGGCAUGUUUAUACUUUUGGCUAAUUCAUGUUGUACAGCAGAAACCAACAUUAUAAAACAAUUAUCUUCCAAUUAAAUAAUAAAUUAAAAAAUAAAUUGGCAGAUUAAAAAAAAAAGAAGAAAAACAAAAUGAAGUUUUUACCAAAUUUAUAUAGAUAGGUCCAGUUUUCCUUUAGUUUACCUUCAGAUGCCAUAUGCAUAUUAACAUUUUUCACAUGUGACAAGAUGUGCAAAAGGCAGGGACAUCUGCCACCAAAACAACAGCACCAUCCGUCUAACUUUUGUUCUAAACAAUUUAAGAAGCAGCUAAGCCAUGGCUUGCCAGAUAUGACCUCACAAAUCCUCUCUGAAUGUCAACAUUCUACUAAGAAGAAAGUUCUUAACCUGUGAGCUUAGAUGAUGAGUCAGUCAUACUGGACUAGGUUAUUCUGCAAAACAAACAACUGCCAAAUCUCGAGUUUCAUGUUUCUACUGUGGCACAUGACACUUGCAGGUUGAGGGCUGGGGGAACUCCACUCAUUGCGGAUGGAAGAUCUCUGGUCAUAAUGAGGCCAGAAAGCAUGCUCUUAGUGUGUGCCGGGACAGAGGAGAGCCAGGACCCAGUGUGUGCGCAGCAGCUCCAACCAACAGGAGAUCUUAGUCCUUUGCUUCUCACAGAGAUUCUCCUGCUCAGCUUGGGCCUCAGUCUGAAACAUGCUUUCAGCUCUCAGCCUGCUCCAGGCAGGCUGGCUGUUCUACUUCCUACCAGUAGGGGCCGCCAUUUCCCUUUUGUAUUUCUUUGGAGACUAAAGCUGGUAGCUUCACAGACCUAACUAUAUUUUUUCUUUUUUAUUUAUGGCAUUAAUCCCGAGGUUAGGGUCGACCUGUGGUGAGCAAUAAUAUGUUUAACCUUUGCCUUCAUGUACUAAGAUGUAAUUGAUC
rnacentral:lncRNA from 1 species